GCAGUGUGUAAUGUAAAAUUCUUCUUGGUAAUCCCCAAAAGUUUGCACAUUUAAGGUUUAUUUAGCACUGCCUAACCGUUUUUGGGGCUUGUAAUUUUCCCAGCAGAUGGCCAUGACAUGCAUCCUGUGCUGCAAACAUGGUUGCCACGACGACGUUGGCAUGUUCAGUGAUCUUGCUGUUUACAUGAAAAGACGAGCUACGGGCACGAAGAAAACUCAUUUCUUCUUCUGUUUUCAGGCGCAGACCUCACACAUCUCCUCUGACAACGACUCCGAACACGACCGAACAGACCCGGGAGGCAGCGGGCCGCUCAUCAAAGCAGAAAGGGUUCUGAAACAGCAGAGCAGAGCCACAUCGUCAGGACUUCAGCAAAACUCUCCUGCUCUGCUGGAUUCCACACCUGCUGUCAGGUUCAGCAGCUGCUGGAGUUUGAGCACAGUGUCCUGCUGCAGCCCGUCUGGUCUCCACCUGCAGGAAGAUGUUGGAAAGUUUCCCCUAAUCUGGUUGGUGCAUCUGAACACCAUUAUGCCGCCAUCUGCAUCACAAUGGCCUCCUAAUCCACAAGAAGCCUCCCGAAUUAACCGCAGAGUAGGUUACAUGCAAGCUGUCGGUGUUACAUGUUGGAGGAAUGCUCUUUACAUGUUUACCUUUUGUUUUCAUGCAAAGCAUCAUGGGAUGUCUGUUAUUGGGCGCGCUGUGGUGCUGCUUUUUGUUUGACGGUUCAGAAAAUUUGAAUGCAUUUGCUGCAAAGGUGUUACUCCUUGACCCCCAUGUGUGAUGUUUACUUCCAAGAGAAUAAAAAAUAAAAAAGCAAACAAAACAACAACAACAAACUCAGGGCAAAAACAAUUAAACAUAAAUUUAACAAAGAAAUUGGAUUCUGCCAAGUUUGGUUGUCAAUUUUUAGAUUUAUGUGAAAGCAGCUGAUGAGUUUUUUUCAACUUCUGAAAGAUUAAAAAGAGAAAAGUUACUAAUUGGUUUCAAAUGAGUUCAUUACAGUCCACUGCUUUAGUUUUCCUUCCUCUUUAGUUGUUCUAGUUCAGUCGUUUCCACCUCCUCUUCGUCAUUAGCAGUCAGCAGCAGUUAUCUUCCUCAGACAAUGCUUCAUCUUUGCUUCAGGCUUUAAGCGGCUGCUUUGGCAGACGACCUUCACUCUGCAGCAGAGAUCCUAAUCGGCUGAGCCAAACGCACAGAGAGCUUUUCCCAGCCAGGCGGCAGGUAUAGUGGAGACUCUUCCUCCCAACAAACCGGAGCCUAUUUCCCUUAAUCUGCAUCUUCAUUGGCUUUAGAGUGAUGUGGAUCCUGGAGAUUGAAUUUCCCAGCCUCCAAAACACCUAGGGAUGUGUGGGUUUGUUUUUUUUCUUUUUUUGUCUUUGAACAAACUUAUUUUAUGUAACUUUAAAUCGAGCAUUUAAAUAUGUUACAAUUCACUUUUACUUCUUAAUCUUAAAGUAUUGUGACAGCCUACAAACAGGCCUUCACAGUUGGAAGAACUCAGCCUUCAUGGAGCUAUAAGUAUUCUCCAUGAAUCCUCCAAUCCAGUGACCCUGUAAACGGGCCACCGGACCUCCAUCUCCUCUUUUAGUCCUAAAGCUUUUUCAUUUAAGCUCCCUUUUAACUGAUAAUUGAUGCAUUAAUAACUAAUCACUUGAUAUAAAUAGAUGUGGGUGAGGCUUUAAUGCUGAAGUCGAGCUCAGUCGAGGCCCUUCGUGAGGCCCUGCAGCGCUGACCCCACAUCUGCUGCACCAGAAGUUGUGUGUAAUGGUGUGUGUCGUAGUGUGUGAGUGCAGGGCUUACGGCUGUGCUGACCCAGCAGCCUGCCAGGGUUCACAUCAGUAGAGAUGGAGCACUCUCUGCGCCCGUUUGGAGGAAAUGCACUUUGUAGAAGGUUUUACGGCAUCAGUUGGAAUAGUUUUGAUUCUGCCUUUUUACUUGUUGUUUCACUUGAAACUGCAUCAAACCAGAAUGAGAUAAGGAAUCCAGCAACAGCACACGGCGUUCGGAGAAUCAUCAGGCAAACAAAAACCUGACAUUACAGUCAAAGGAGCUUCUAAACAACAUCUGGGUGCAAUUAUGAGAGCAGCUUGCAGACACUAGUUCAGAAAAUAUUACAUUAUAAAAGUUCGUAUUUUUGAUCACAUAAUGUCAGUAAGACUUUAAAAAGAACUUAAUGCUCCAUUAUUUAACAGUAAUAUCUAUAAAAUAACGUAAAUAAUAAACUUUUAAGACCUCGUUUUUUUAAGUUUAUUCAACAUUUAUUUAAAAUUUAAAUUCAAAAGUUUUCUGAAAGGAUUUAAAACUUCUUUAUUAGUAGAGGAUUUGCUCAUAUUUGGAGCCAGUUGGUGUCAAACUUGAAAUCAUCAGGAAAUGAAGAGGAGAGUCAUCUCGCUCAGGGAUGAAGAGCAUGAAGUCCAGCUCUGAGGGCUGCAGAUCGAUCCGUGUCCUUCAUAUCAGGUGACUUCGCGCCUCCUGCGCUCGCGCCUCCAGCGCGCACGCGCCUCCUGUCAGGCGGCAAUGUCUCCGUCUUUGUUCCCACUUCUCCGUCCUCAUCCUUUCUUUCUGGAAGCACAACAGCGGCGGACUCGAUUCCACUGAACUCUUUCAUCCUAUCGGAGCGUCCGGGAAAAAACAGAUGGUUUAUUAGAAUCAUUAGUUUCCAUUUACAAAUAAAGAUAUUCUAGUUUUUCCCCGAUUUUCCAUCUUAAUUUUUGCCUACAUAAUUUAUUUCACCAUCGUUUUUUUCCUUUGAGC
ensembl:lncRNA